GGUGCCAUGGUGUAAUGGUUAGCACUCUGGACUCUGAAUCCAGCGAUCCGAGUUCAAAUCUCGGUGGGACCUGCAAGUUUUUCAUGUACUUUGUCCUCUUAUCUGGCUAAGCCUCUCUAGGAUCCACUAAGCUGAUGUUUUAAAGAGACUGCAGUAAAAACCAAACAGUGUGACAGCAGAAAGGUAAAGAGCAGGCUGUGGCAAAAAGAACUGUGCAGUGAACGAAUGAUCUGAGUUGACUGUCAACUUUGACCUGUUAUAAAUAUAUAACCAAUAUAGUGGGUCAAAGUUGGUCAUAAAUUUCCAAGAUAAAAGUGAGUUACUUGUCCAGUAUGCCGGGUGGGGAAUAAAGGACAUACUAGAACAUCCACUCAGUAAAUGAGCUAAUAAAUAGGCAGUAACAAUCAGUAGCACUAUAUCAUAUCUCAUCAUGUCAUACAUAGUUAACUCAGCAAAAUAAUAUAUUGUUCAAUUAUGCAAACCAAAUACAAAGGAGUUUAUCAUGUAGGAAUCAGAUUUUAAGUAGUUGUUUGCUGCUAUAUUAAUGUUCAGAAUGUCGUAUAGAUAAUCUUUAUUACUUCACACUUAAAUUGAAUUAUUUCCCUUUGCUGUUACAAUAUUUCAGUCAUCUUAACAUAACACCCUGCUUACGUUCUUGUUUUUAGCAGACACCUAAGGUGUCUCACCUCCCAAGUAAAAUUGGAAUUAAGAACAAUUAUUCAGCCACACCUUAACGGAAACGUUAUCUAACUCUGCCCUCCAUCUUUCCAUUUCUGCUGCAUGCCUGAUGAUCAAGUCAAGUCAAUUUGAAAAAAAAAAAAAAAAACAUCCCAGUGUCAGCACCGUAUCAGCAUCAUCCUGUACCUGCACCUAUAGGACCACACACAACAUGACUUAUUCAUGUCUCUGCAGGAAAUUGGAGAUCCAUGAGGCUCCAUUCCAGCUCACAGUAUGUCACUCAACUCCCAACUGACACAUCCCACAACUGUUUCAGAUACUGUGGAAAAGGAAAAAUCUGACAGGAAGGCAUUCCCACCAAAGGUUGGGAAAAGCUUUGUGCUUGUACUAAAUAUACUGUAUAUGUGUCUGCUUGCUUCUUUAUUGAUGGAUGUUAUGUAGUAAUGUGAUACUGAAGUCUUUUUAUUACUGAUGGGAGUCAGCGAGCUAAAUAUAAAUGUGCCAUCAGCACUGCAAUAAUUAUUUCCACCUUUCCAUCAUUUAUCCAUUCAUCAGCCUCCACCUUCUCUUUGCUAUAAGAUACAUCUCACCACCACCCCAUUGCUUUACUAACCCUAAGGCAUCUUAUCAGAAAAUAUAUGAGAAUUUAUUUUUCAUAAUGCAUUCCAGUCAAACAUGCACAUACACACUGAUGCACACAAAGAGCAGACUCUAUUUCAAGAGACAUGAGAAUUUCCUCUGACCAUCCAUUGUGUUUUAUGACUGUUAUACGUGUCAGUGCCUGUAGGGAAAUACAGAAAUACAUCACUGAAUUUAGGCCCAUUUGCAUUGUAGCUAGCUUCCCACAUAUGCUAGUUAAGGAUAGUGUAACAGUGUAAAUAAAUAACUUAUGUGUGUGGUUAAAUUCCUGUUAAACUACCAACCAUGUUUUUUCUUUUGAAUGAGGAAAGUUUCUUAUAAUGUACUGUAAGAAGACUAUGGUAAGGCAAUAGGAGUUAUUGACUUUUGUCAUUAUGAAUAAUUGCUGUUGACGGUAACUCACUUUUCCAUAGCCUAGAUUAAAAUGUUUUUAUUUCUUAUUUAUAUUAUUGUAACCCUUUUGAUAUUAACAGUGUACCACUAUAUGAUCACAAUACAGUUGUUCAAAAUCUCAAACCUGCAGUCAAUCCUGUGAGACAGGUAGUGGGAGCAGAUUCACCUUAGUCAUCAAGGGGAGGAGUCUAGAGAAGGGGAGGCUAUAUAAAGUCUGAGACCAUGCUGCCACACCAGAAAAUUGUUUGUACAAAUCCCUUCGUUUGAGCCCAUGCUGCCAACCCAAUCCUGGUAUUGUUCUGGAGCAGUGUAAUAUAGGCCACUUACCUGUGAGCUAAAGUCAGACCGAGUAAGUACGGUAAUCUGUUAAUUUUGAGAAGAAAGUGAUUGUGUAUUUUGUCAAAUGGUAUUAACUUAUGUUUGUUAUAAUUAGGUUCCGGAUGGAGAAUGUUAAAGUAUUUCACCCUUAAGAAGCUGAUGCAUUAAUAAUGUAAGAUGGCUACGUACCUCUUAUUUUAAUUGUGAUAAGCAUGGCAAUAUAUUUUCAUUUGUUCAUUCAUAUUCAACAUCCAUAUCGUCAUCCAUUAUCCAUCCUUCAACCUCCACCCAUUAUCCUCCCUGAUUAAAUGGUUAACUGGC